rnacentral:tRNA from 1 species
GCCUGACUGGCUCAGUUAGAGUCAGAGCAUGCAACUCUUAAUCUCAGAGUCAUGAGUUCGAGCCCCAUGUUGGGUG